rnacentral:rRNA from 1 species
AUUAGUGGCGAACGGGUGAGUAAUACGUGAGUAACCUACCUUUAACUCUGGGAUAAGCCUGGGAAACUGGGUCUAAUACCGGAUACGACCAAUCUCCGCAUGGGGUGUUGGUGGAAAGCGUUAUGUAGUGGUUAUAGAUGGGCUCACGGCCUAUCAGCUUGUUGGUGAGGUAACGGCUCACCAAGGCGACGACGGGUAGCCGGCCUGAGAGGGUGACCGGCCACACUGGGACUGGGACACGGCCCAG